GGGCGAGUGGUGAAAUUGGCAGACACGUACGCUUUAGGAGCGUAUGGGGAAACCCUUGGAGGUUCGAGUCCUCUCUCGCCCA
rnacentral:tRNA from 1 species